GUAUGGGGGAGCAUUACAGCCAUGUGUUGAGAGGGAUUCUUUGGGGUUUGAAUAAUUCACCUUUGGAAACAUGGGUGUUUCGUUCAACAUCCUUAAACAACCCUUAUUCAGGGACCUUUUGAGCCGGGUGGGCUACUUGACCUAAAGAAAAUUCUAACUGG